rnacentral:tRNA from 1 species
CCUGUAGCUCAGAAGGAUAGAGCAACGGUUUCCUAAGCCGUGGGUCGGGAGUUCGAAUCUCCCUAGGA